GACGAACGCUGGCGGCGUGCCUAAUACAUGCAAGUUGAGCGCUGAAGGUUGGUACUUGUACCAACUGGAUGAGCAGCGAACGGGUGAGUAACGCGUGGGGAAUCUGCCUUUGAGCGGGGGACAACAUUUGGAAACGAAUGCUAAUACCGCAUAAAAACUUUAAACACAAGUUUUAAGUUUGAAAGAUGCAAUUGCAUCACUCAAAGAUGAUCCCGCGUUGUAUUAGCUAGUUGGUGAGGUAAAGGCUCACCAAGGCGAUGAUACAUAGCCGACCUGAGAGGGUGAUCGGCCACAUUGGGACUGAGACACGGCCCAAACUCCUACGGGAGGCAGCAGUAGGGAAUCUUCGGCAAUAGACGAAAGUCUGACCGAGCAACGCCGCGUGAGUGAAGAAGGUUUUCGGAUCGUAAAACCCUGUUGGUAGAGAAGAACGUUGGUGAGAGUGGAAAGCUCAUCAAGUGACGGUAACUACCCAGAAAGGGACGGCUAACUACGUG
rnacentral:rRNA from 1 species